rnacentral:lncRNA from 1 species
GAAUUUUGACUGAGGGCUGGUCACUUGGGCACCCUCUUUGUGGCACAUACCAAAAUUCCAGACUCCCAGAAGAGAGUAGGUGCUUAGCAUAAACCCCAUUGUUUGCACGGUUAGGUACAAGUCAACCUUAUAGGAGUUCCUGCAGUGGCACAGUGGUUAACGAAUCCAACUAGGAACCAUGAGGUUGCGGGUUCCAUCCCUGACUUUUCUCGGUAGGUUAAGAAUCCAGCAUUGCCGUGAGCUGUGGUGUAGGUCGCAGACACGGCUCGGAUCCCGUGUUGCUGUGGCUGUGGCAUAGGCCCACGGCAGCAGCUCCGAUUAGACCCCUAGCCUGCGAACCUCCAUAUGCUGAGGGAAGUGGCCCUAGAAAAGGGAAAAUAAAAAGAGUCAACCUUAUAAGCAAGGCUUUCUAAAGAUAGCAGCUUCAGGCCAGCUGUGUUAACUCCGUUUUGCACAUCACCUCAUUGGAUUAUUGAGAAAUUAGAUGACGUAAUAUAUCCAUGUUUACAACAGUGCUUUAUACUUAGGAAGCCCUAAAAAUUUUUGUAGCCAUUAUUGGUAAAUGGGAAAAAUUACUGAAGCUUAGAAUGACUGCAGAGUCAGGCCUAUCUGUAAUCUGAAUUUACGUCUACCUGACUUAAAAAGAUCCAUGCAUUUACUCACUUCACUCAAGCAGAAACAAAAUAGCAUCCUUCAGACUUCCGCUAGGAAUGGAGAUAAUGGAUCCCUCCUUUCUCAGAUUUGUAGUUGAUGGGGUCUGUAAGUGUAGCUGUUUUGAAAAUAUAGCUUUCUCUAGCUACAAGUAAUAUCACACCAUGGUGCAGAAUCCUAAUUAGUUAAACCUACUCCUAGAGUGUAGACAUGAUCUAGUACUUUACUGCCCUAAAUGAGCAUAUUUUGGAUGUACCACAGUCUUUCUCUUCCACUCAAUUCGGCAUGCUUUGUUUAUGUCUCUAAUUUUUCAGAAUACCCUAAUACUCUUAAGAAUUUUCUUUUGUAAGAUCUAGAUAGGGAGUUUCCGCUGUGGCUCAGCAGUUUAAGAACCCAACAUAGUGUCUUUGAGGCUGUGGGUUCGAUCCCUGGCCAUGCUCAGUGAGCUAAGGAUCUGGCAUUGCCACAAGCUAUGGGAUGGUUUGCAGAUGCGGCUUGGAUCUGGCAUUGCUGUAGCCCAAGAACUUCCAU